rnacentral:lncRNA from 1 species
ACAGGUGCGGGCUACCACGCCUGGCUGAUUUUUGUAUUUUUAGUAGAGAAGGGAUUUUGCCAUGUUGGCCAGGCUGAUCUCGAACUCUUGACCUCAGGUGACCCACCCACCUCGGCUUCCCAAAGUGCUGGGAUUAUAGGCGUGAGCCACUGUGCCUGGCCUCAUGCACUUUUCAUUAUAUUUUGCAAUUUACAAAGUUAUGUAGGAGGUGGAAUUCUGGUUUCUGCUGGGGAUGUACAGAGCUUGUCACUCCCACUCUCACAAGAAUAAAGCCAGACAAACCGUAAGUUCUCGACUUUGCUUCAUCCCAUCAGAGACCUGAGGCUGCAGGACAACCAACUGGAAGCUGGGGAGAGACAGGGCCUGCAGGGGAAUGGCAUUGAGCCCUCCCGUCCCUGGGGCAGUCACGGGGCAUCGUUGGCACCCUGAGGCACGGACUUGAAAAAAUGCAUUGAUUCAAGAUGGAAUAAACCGAGUAGGUUUCAGAACAGCCACCCUUGGCCUGGACAGUGCAAGAGCUGCAGAGUGUCACCUCACAGGGCCAGCGGCGACCCAAGACACGGGUGCCUGGAAAGGGGGCUCUCUGCGGGGACAGGGCUCAGAAAGGCUGGACCUGUCCUGAACCACAGAAACAGGGUUCCCUGAACCUCGGCCAUCGUCUACCAUUACGGCGCCCUGUCCAGAUAUAAAGUCAGAAAAUCUCAGAUGCACAAACAUUUUGAAGUAAAAGAUAGUUUCUAAACCAUUACUCAAACCAAUAAAACGUGAAGUGAAAUGAAAUGUGUAAUGUGAAUGAAAAUGCUCC